rnacentral:lncRNA from 1 species
CCAAGGUGGGGUAGGGGCUCUGGGUCCCAUAUGGAGGGGAUGGCAGCUCUUGGGGCUACCCGCUAUCUCCUUCCCACCUGACUGUGCCUUGAGUGGCCCCUACCCCGUGGGGCCCGCAGGGCUGGGGCCUGACGGCCUGUGGCUCUGUGCCCCCCAGAACGAGUGCCAGCACUACCACGCCAAGGCCAAGAAACACGCCAAGAGAGGCAGGAAGCACCACCGGAAGCGUUCGCAGUCGGUGAGGGCCAGGGCCGGGGUCAGGGGACCGGGCGGCUGGAGCAGGGCGAGGGUCUGGGCCUGUCUGCUGGGCUCACGCAGAGCCAGGCCUGCGGGCAGGGGGCUGGAGCUGGGUCUGCACCCCGGAUGCCCAUUGGUGCUGGUGGACAGGGGUAGGGAGAGCAGGGGAUUUCAGGCCAGUCAGGUCCUGCUCCGUGGGAUUCGCUGGGGCGAGGGGGGGCCAGCCUGGGCCACGUUAACCCCCCCUCCCCUCCCCGCCAGGGCUCAGAGUCGGAGCUCGAGGCCCAGCACCAGCGGGCCCAGAAGAGGAGGAAGCGGAAUCCCUCGGAGUCCGGUUCGGAGCUCUCCUCCUCGCCCGGCUCAGGUGGGCGCCGGGGCUGCCCUGGCAGGUGGGCGGGACGGGGUGACUGGGUCCCCUGGCGCCUGCCUGAUGCCCCCUCUGCCCGCAGAUCUCAGCUCCCGCAAGGCCAGGAAACAGAAGAAGAAAAGCAAGAAGAGGAGGCACAAAUCGGUGAGUGCAGCGGGCGAGGGCGGUGCCAAGCCGGGGGUGGCGAGAGCGCUGGUGGAAUCCCCCCCUGAGCCCCAGCCACUGUGUUACAGAACAGCCCCCAGAGCGAGGGCGAGCGGGGCAGGAAGGGGAAGGAGAAGGAGCCGGAGCGGGCAGAGGGCCGACGGCGCUCCCCCCAGCGCAGCCUCAAGAGGGAGAAGAGCGUCUGGGACACGUCGGACAGUGAGCCGAGCGAGGGCGAGCUGGAGAAGCGGCGUCGGACACUGCUGCAGCAGCUGGACGACGAUCAGUAGCCAGGUCUGCGGGACUGUCGCUGAGCUGGGGCUCCCUCAGCUCCCCACCCCUCUCCCCAGCCUGGGGAGAGGCUCCGGACAGCUCGAUGCGGGCGGGGGGCUCCUGAGAGAGCAGAGAGGGGGCCCCGCUCCACCCAGGACUCCUUCCCCCCAUCCCUGCGGAUCCCCCCCGCACCUGAGGACCCAUCGCCCCUGGGGCUGCUGUGACCACCUCUGCUUGGCUGGCCCCUCGGCGCUCAGAGGACCGGCCCCAGGACAGCGGCGCUUUGGAGGGGGUUCGAAUGCGGCUCUCACAGGUGGUUCUGUGGCUGCGCUGAGGAUCAUGGGUGCCUGGGGCGCCCUGCGGGGUUGGCUGCGGGGGCGUGUGCUGCUGAGUAGCCGGGACCCUCGGCCUGCUCGUACUCUGGGAAUUAAAG